GAUGAACGCUAGCGGCAGGCCUAAUACAUGCAAGACUAGGGGGCAGCAAUGUCACCGUCGCACGGGUGCGUAACGCGUAUGCAACCUACCUAUCACAGGGGGAUAGCCUUUGGAAACAGGGGAUUAAUACCGCAUAAAGCAGGGGCUCCGCAUGGAGAUAUUGCUAAAGAUUUAUCGGUGAUAGAUGGGCAUGCGUCUGAUUAGUUAGAUGGUGGGGUAACGGCCUACCAUGGCGAUGAUCAGUAGGGGGCGUCAGAGCGUGGUCCCCCACACUGGCACUGAGAUACGGGCCAGACUCCUACGGGAGGCAGCAGUAGGGAAUAUUGGGCAAUGGAUGCAAGUCUGACCCAGCCAUGCCGCGUGAAGGAAGAAGGUCCUCUGGAUUGUAAACUUCUUUAUCGGGAAGAAGAAUCACCUUGCGAGGUGAAGUGACGGUACCCGAU
rnacentral:rRNA from 1 species